rnacentral:lncRNA from 1 species
GAGGUUUAAAUUUGUUGUAGGAAUUAUUAGGAUUUGGUUUAGGAUUUGGUUAGGAUUUGGUUUGGGAUUUAGAGUUUGGAUUAGGGUUUGAUUUAGAGUUUAAGGUUUAUUUAGGGUUUGAUUUAGGAUUUAGGAUUUUAUUAGGAUUUAAGAUUCAAUUAGUUUUGGCCUAAAUUUUGAAUGAAGUUCAAUAGGAUUUUAACUAGAAUUAAAUUAAGAUUGAAUUGAGAUGUAUUUGAGUGAUAUUUAUGUUCUUUCUAAUGUUUCUUUAAGAGUUCUUAUUGUUUGUUUGAAAUUUCUUUGAGUUUUUUUUUGAAUUUGAUUAAGCUUGCUUAUCAUUAUUAUGGUCUAAUUAGAACAUUGUUAGUAUUCUAUUAAAAUUAAAAUUUUGAUAUUACAAUUUCCAUUCUUUCUUCCACAGCCAAGUGUCUGGAGCAUUCUCAAUCAAGACUUCAUGUAUUAUGGCAAAGUGAAAUAUAGGGUGGAUCUUCAUAGAUUUAGAUAUAUGUAAUG